rnacentral:rRNA from 1 species
AGCGGAUUGCGUGAGUGUUGGGUGCACGUGCUCAGCAUCUCUCUUUUGGGGGGGUGUGUAUUCACGUGCGCCUGCGCCGGCGUGGCUGCGUGCUGGUGGAUUUUGCACCGGCGCGUGGUGAGGGCUCCUGCUUGUCAGUGAGGACGCCGGCGAAAUGACGCAAUACGACCCGUCUUGAAACACGGACCAAGGAGUCUAGCGCGGCUGCGAGUCGAAGGGUGGCAAACCCAAGGGCGCAGUGAAAGCGAAUUUUGUGCAGAACGAAAACAGUUUGGGGCGGCAUAGCGACGUUGUCAACAUGUCCGACCCGGAGCAUGCGCGCUGGGACCCGAAAGAUGGUGAACUAUGCCGGAGUAGGGCAAAGCCAGAGGAAACUCUGGUGGAGGCUCGUAGCGAUGCUGACGUGCAAAUCGCUCGUCAAACUUGGGUAUAGGGGCGAAAGACUAAUCGAACCAUC